GUGCAAUGUUGGCUAGGUACCCUCUGAUAUCCCCUCUAUUUGUGUGUCUAGAAUCCUAGGCUCUGUGAUGGACUUAGAAAUGACCUUCAAGAAAAUGAAGCCAGGAAGAAUUUCUGGAUCUGAAUGAAUAUACGUUGAGGAAAUCUGUAUUGGAGGUGAUGUAAUGGAUGCAUACUUGCCUGUCUUCUCACCUUGAAAGACAAUCUCAGGAUCUGGAUGGAUGCAAACAAAGAAAACAUUCAGCAAUUCUUUAGUUGUAAGCAUCCUGUGAAGUACAACAUGGUGAGAUAGGAGCUCACCAGAGGUGUUUUCCACCACUAUGGGGAUGUGCUAUUCAAAAUCCAAAUAGAAGAAGGAUUCCCUU
rnacentral:lncRNA from 1 species